CAGCCCCAGAGUUCCCAGCGCGCGGUCAUUGACCUAAGAGUCGCGGCAGCUCCUUGUCGUCGAGUCCCCGGGCGUGAGGGAGAGGAAGCGCUGGACGGGCGGCGGGACUCGGCCUCGGUGAGGAGGAAGAGGGCCGGCCUGGGGCGUGAAGGGAGGGUCCAGAGGACAUUACCCAUCAACAUGACUAUGAGAAGUAAUUUGUGAAGUGAGUUCCAGCACCCUUGAAGAGAUCUGCAAUUGCUCCUCUCUGUAUUCAGAUGUAUCUUACAAUGGAACCUGUUAUCAAACUGAGAUUCUUAAAUGCAGUGGUGAUGAUGGGAUCUCAGGGUGGCAGGUGCAGAUAUAAGGAGAAGUUAGCAGUCUACAAAUCAGAAAACUUUCCUUACCAGAACUCAACCAUACUGGCACCCUGCUCUUGAACUUCCAGUCUCCAGAACUUUUAUGAAGCACUGCUGUAUACAUCAUUCUACUGAAUGAAGACCUGAAUGCCUCAGACACUUGUAGCACCAAGCUUCAUGAUCUUUAAGGUCUUGGAUCAACUGGUAUUGUGAAAAGAAAAUAAGCUGGUAAUCUCCCUCUCGCCGAGGUAGUGAAGACGCCGCUGUCCGCUCCACCGGGUGGCGGGGGGUGACGCCCGGACCUCGCUUCACACAGCUUGAGACCAAAGAGUCACUGUGAGGGAACAUGGAACUGAGGUUGCCUGCAGUUGCAUAGAGGGACCCAACGUAUGGCUGGAUGCUGAGAAACAGAAUGCUCCUGUGAAGAAAAGUGGCUGGCGGAUAGUGGGUCAUUAAUCACCAGACGUUGAGCCCGUGCCCCCUCUUCAGGCCACUAUCGACGAGGCCUGUGAGGGUCAAACAGUGUGCCUUUCAGAUGCGUGAAGACCCUAGGAACCAAGGCGUGAUGGAUGUGUCUGGUGGAGAAGAGACCAUUACAAGCCACUCGUUGUUUAAGAACUCUCUCCUGUCCCAUUUGCCACCAAAAGUUAUUUCCUCUGUGUUGGUGGUCUCUCUGACUGGAUGAAUACGUCGGGGUAUCAUUAACUUCAGGGAGCUUCUCUCCCCAGGACUACAUCUAAAAACUUUGUCUCUUCAAGUCCUGGAUCAAUAAAAAAAGAAGGAAAAAAGUCAUCACACUAUGAGAUUCUUUGCUUCUUCAAGAAGGUUAACAGCUGAGUGUGGCUUUCACUACCAACCUGUGAUUCGGAAUUCAUUUGAUAUUAGUAUGAGCACUGUUCUAGUCACAAUAUAAGACCCACACUCCUUCCCACAGGAGCUUGAAAUCCAGUAAAGAAAGAAAUGUGAUGAAGAUUUUUGUUAACCAUAACGAACUGAAAUCAAAAGGAGGUUCUUGCUGAUUUCCGCUAAGAGAAUGUAGAAACCUAGGGAAGCCUUCUCAAAAAGGUAGCAGAUGUAACUGGGACUAUCUGAUGGCUGAUCCAAGGACCUCCGCCAAGCAGAGGGGAGUCAUAAAUGUGUCUACUUGGAAUCACAUACGGGAAGUUCCAGAACAUUCAUGCAGCUUUUCAGGUCUUCACCCCCACCGUCAGUUUACACCAGCUGCUUCUCAUCACCUAGCCCUGGGGUCCUUCCCAUGAAGUUCGGUCCAACAGAGAAGCCAGCACCCAAAGGAAGUCCAUGCACACACUGAGCAGAGGACAAAAGCCGAGACUUGAAGAGAGUGGUAUUUUCUCCAGAGACACCAGAUAGGAAUAUAAGUUGAAUGUCCCACAUGUGGUCCACUCAUCCACGCUGGCUUUGAACCACACUCAUUCCACGCUGAGCUCUUGUUUCCUAAAGCGCAUUCUAUGGUCUUCCAGUGCAGACAUAUGGCACGCACUUCUGGCUGUUCUACAGAGCCUUCUGGUCCAGGGCUGACUGAAUAUGUCUGUAGGCUAGAGGUCUGACAUGGGCUCCACUGGGCUAAAAUCAAAGUGUCGGCAGGGACGCGUUCCUCUCUGGAGGCUCUAGGGGAGAAUCUGUUCCCUCGCCUUUUCUAGCUUCCAGAGGCCGCCCACGUUCUUUGGCUUGUGGCUCCUUCCCGAACCUGCAGUAACUUUCUUCCUGUAUAUGCUGUAAGUAACCAACGCCAGCCAUGUUGCAUCUGUCUCUGAUUGUACCUCACAUUUCCCUCUGACUGACCCUCUCCCAAGCCCCUCUUCCACUUUAAGGACACUUGUGAUUAUGUUGGGCCCACCUGCAGAACCCAGACUCCUCUCCCUGUUUCAGGGUCAGUGGAUUAGUCCCUUAAGUCCACCUGCAACCUUAUUCUCCUUUGCCAUUUAACCCAACAUAUUUACAGGUUCUGGGGAUUGGGAUGGAUUCUCCCUACACACAUUAGAUACACAUGUAAAUACACAUUAAAUAUACCGUUUAAUAUUUUUGUGACAGUAUAAUAAUUGUCAUUCAGUUGCCUUAAUCUACAGAAUUUAUCUUUUUGACCUAUCUAAAACAUAUUAAACUGGCCAGAUGCAAUAGUAAAAAA